rnacentral:rRNA from 1 species
UUGAUCCUGGCUCAGAAUCAACGCUGGCGGCGUGCCUAACACAUGCAAGUCGAACGCGAAAGUCCCGCAAGGGAUCAGUAGAGUGGCAAACGGGUGAGUUACACGUGGGUGACCUGCCUUCGAGUGGGGGAUAACGUUUCGAAAGGAACUCUAAUACCGCAUAACAUCCUGCCUUUUAAGAGGUGGAGAUCAAAGCUGGUGAUCGCAAGACCUAGCGUUCGAAGAGGGGCCCGCGCCUGAUUAGCUAGUUGGUGGGGUAACGGCUCACCAAGGCGACGAUCAGUAUCCGGCCUGAGAGGUCGGACGGACACACUGGGACUGAGACACGGCCCAGACUCCUACGGGAAGCUGCAGUGGGGAAUUGUUCGCAAUGGGCGCAAGCCUGACGACGCAACGCCGUGUGGAGGAUGAAGAUCUUCGGGUCGUAAACUCCUUUCGAUCGAGACGAAUGGCCUCCGGGUGAACACCCUGGAGGAGUGACGGUACCGAGAGAAGAAGCUCCGGCUAACUCCGUGCCAGCAGCCGCGGUAAUAAGGU